rnacentral:tRNA from 1 species
CGGGGAGUAGAGAAGCGGCCAUCUCACCAGCCUCAUAAGCUGGAAAUCGCGGGUUCAAAUCCCGCCUCCCCUA